GAUGAACGCUGGCGGCGUGCCUAAUACAUGCAAGUCGAGCGAACAGACGAGGAGCUUGCUCCUCUGACGUUAGCGGCGGACGGGUGAGUAGCACGUGGAUAACCUACCUAUAGGACUGGGAUAACUUCGGGAAACCGGAGCUAAUACCGGAUAAUAUAUUGAACCGCAUGGUUCAAUAGUGAAAGACGGUUUUGCUGUCACUUAUAGAUGGAUCCGCGCCGCAUUAGCUAGUUGGUAAGGUAACGGCUUACCAAGGCAACGAUGCGUAGCCGACCUGAGAGGGUGAUCGGCCACACUGGAACUGAGACACGGUCCAGACUCCUACGGGAGGCAGCAGUAGGGAAUCUUCCGCAAUGGGCGAAAGCCUGACGGAGCAACGCCGCGUGAGUGAUGAAGGUCUUCGGAUCGUAAAACUCUGUUAUUAGGGAAGAACAAAUGUGUAAGUAACUAUGCACGUCUUGACGGUACCUAAUCAGAAAGCCACGGCUAACUACGUG
rnacentral:rRNA from 1 species